rnacentral:rRNA from 1 species
UACGAAGGGGGCUAGCGUUGCUCGGAAUCACUGGGCGUAAAGGGUGCGUAGGCGGGUCUUUUAAGUCAGGGGUGAAAUCCUGGAGCUCAACUCCAGAACUGCCUUUGAUACUGAAGAUCUUGAGUUCGGGAGGAGGUGAGUGGAACUGCGAGUGUAGAGGUGAAAUUCGUAGAUAUUCGCAAGAACACCAGUGGCGAAGGCGGCUCACUGGCCCGAUACUGACGCUGAGGCACGAAAGCGUGGGGA